rnacentral:rRNA from 1 species
UACGGAGGGUGCAAGCGUUAUCCGGAUUCACUGGGUUUAAAGGGUGCGUAGGUGGGAAUGUAAGUCAGUGGUGAAAUCUCCGUGCUUAACACGGAAACUGCCAUUGAUACUAUGUUUCUUGAAUUAUCUGGAGGUCAGCGGAAUGUGUCAUGUAGCGGUGAAAUGCUUAGAUAUGACAUAGAACACCAAUUGCGAAGGCAGCUGGCUACAGGUGGAUUGACACUGAGGCACGAAAGCGUGGGGAUCAAACAGG